UUGCAGUGUAAAUUCUGCUGAUGGCUUUCUGUUAGCAAUAUGCAAAGCAAAAUCUGCACCAUAUUUCCUGAUGAAUGAGGAACAGCUGUCUGAGGUGGCUGGGAGAGCACAAAGACAUUCAGUGAGGAGCCCUGACUGAUUUAGCAGGGAGCGUGGAGCAGUUAUUUCACCCAGCUCCUGAGUCAGCUGUGCUUCCCACACUGCUGUGGCAGCUGGCUCCAGGCUGGGAAGCAUCACUAACACCACAAUGAUGUGAUUCUUCCUCUCCAUCCUCUCCAUUGGAGAUAAGGUCAGACUGCUGCACAGAGAUAUCCCACCCACAUUGUGGCUGAUGCAGGAUGUUCUAAUGCAAAGGGAAAAUCAAAAACCUACAGAGAAUUGAAAAAAUCCAAACCAGUCAUCCUGACUGUGGAAACACUGUAAAACACCACCAGGCUCUCACCAGUGUGUACCUACACUGGUUAAACAAGCAUUUUAUGGACAUCAUUUCACCUACUCAAUUGCUUAAUGGUAUAGUUCUCUCAUGGUCCUCCCACUCUUAACUGGGACAACUUAGAAUUUAUAUGGUAAUUAAAUGUACCCCAUUUUAAUUUGCCUUUUUCUAAAAUAUAUAGAUAUGGCACUGCUAA